rnacentral:tRNA from 1 species
CUGGAGAUGGCUGAGUGGUUGAAAGCGGCGGUCUUGAAAACCGUUGAGGGUAAAACCUCCGGGGGUUCGAAUCCCUCUCUCCCGG